GAUGAAGACGUAGCAAAAUGCGAUAAGUAAUGUGAAUUGCAGAAUUCAGUGAAUCAUCGAAUCUUUGAACGCACAUUGCGCCCGCCAGUAUUCUGGCGGGCAUGCCUGUUCGAGCGUCAUUUCAACCCUCAAGCACAGCUUGGUGUUGGGACUCGCGUUAAUUCGCGUUCCCCAAAUUGAUUGGCGGUCACGUCGAGCUUCCAUAGCGUAGUAGUAAAACCCUCGUUACUGGUAAUCGUCGCGGCCACGCCGUUAAACACCAACUUCUGAAUGUUGACCUCGGAUCAGGUAGGAAUACCCGCUGAACUUAAGCAUAUCAAUAAGCGGAGGA
rnacentral:misc_RNA from 1 species